CUCAUUUGACAUUUCAUAGUGAUGAUAACUUUGCCCGGUGCUCAACGAUUUCUUGUCAAACCAUGUUUUUCGUAUUGGCUAAUAUAAGUUAUCAACUGAAAUGACGUCAUGAGCACCAAAUCAACUUGAAAGCCACCGUAACACAUUUGACAGGUGUUUUUGUAUCGAUAGUUUAAAAAGUGGUAUUCCGUAAGCCAAGUGACCAUCAAAAGGUUGAUCACUAUAUUAUUUUUAUCUGCUGUGAAAGGAACUAGUAUUGAGCAGUGUUUUGUAAAUUCUCAGUGAUCGACACUAUAAUCCGGAUAAGUUAAAUAUUACAAAUUUAUAAACAAGAUAUAGGAAGAAUAGCACGUAUAUGAUUUAACGUCUUAUUUCAAGUGUUUCUAUACUAUAAGUAACAAAAAAUAUAUAGAUAACAUUGAGUUAAUGUGUACUAUGAUAGAUAAUAAUUUUUUAAGUAUAAAUACAUAGCCAUUUUAUUGGUCAAAAAAGGUUUUUACUGAGCAAUAGAAGUGUAGGUACCUAAUCAUAUAAUUUAUAAAGUAUGGCCUGUGCUUUUUUACUUGGAUUUGCGGAAGUAGAGAGAAAGAGGAAAGCAUUAAGAAUUGAAAGGCGACGCUUACGUGAUGCUAGUGAUCCUGUGGUGAUCCUUUACAGCUGCCUGAAAGAGAAUUUAUAGCGAAUUUUCGUUUGACAAAGGCUGGUUUUCAACUGGUGGUGGAGAUGUUGAAAUAGGAAACAUUUUCCUUCAUUGAAUGUAUUAAUAGUGACUCAGGAUAUGUGCAACGGCCCUGGAUGAUGACACCAAUAUUAGGAGCAGGACCUGUGGACACCUGAAGAAUACUAUACCAACCUUCAUUGCCGUGUCAGGAAUACUGUUGAACGGUGUUUAGGGUUAUUCAAAGCACGUUGGAGUUGUUAAACUUUGUUGGCCCAUAGAGUACUUCAUUAUGAUCCAGUUACUGCUGGUAAAAUAGUGAAUGCAUGUGUUGUCCCGCACAAUAUUGCAAAUAUGCAGAAUGCCAAAAUACCCGAAAUACAGGCAUGUCUCAGGAUUUAGGAGAGGAUGCUAUAGUUGAGGUUAUACAAGAUCUUACCGAACAACUAGUACAGAGACUAUGGAAUUCAAGAAGAUGAUAUGUUAAAUAAAUAUUUAUUGUGCUUAAAAAUGUAUUAGUUUUAACUGAAAAUUAUUUAUACUACUUGUAUCUGUGAUUAAACAUAUUUUCUUACUUAGAUAAUGUUAUAGCUUCUAAUUGAAUAUGACAAUAUUUCUUGUAUAAUUUAUAAAUUAUCAUACAUUGUUAAUGCUCUGAUAUUAUAAGUGUGAUGUAGUUGUGUCAAUUAGGUAAUAGUUAAAACAAGGUAUUUAAGUAAUUAAACUUUUGAUAUCUAAAAAAA